AUACUUACCUGUCAGGGGAGAUAUUGUGAUCACAAAGGUGGUUUUCCAAGGGCAAGGCUUAUCUAUUGCAUUCCAGAUGUGCUGACUCCUGCGAUUUCCCCAAAUGUGGGAAACUCGAUGGCAUAAUUUGUAGUAGUGCGGGGACUGUGUUCAUGCUCUCCUCUG
rnacentral:snRNA from 1 species